rnacentral:lncRNA from 1 species
GGAAAGUUAGAUGAAUCUUCAUGUGCUAUGCAAACGAGUAUGCUACGCAGAUCGCUUUAUCAAUAAUGUAUAUUAUGAUAACACUGCCCCAGUUGUAUGCAAGCACAAAGCUUUAUCCAGUGACGCAGAAUGCAGAAUUUCUAAGCACAAUAACAUUUUCCGAUUGUUUUGAUGAGAAAUGAAUACAAUCUCUUCAACAAAUAACAGAUUCUGUAGUCUGUUCACCGAGAAAUCAUGUCUGUUUUCAUUGUUCUAUCUCAAUCCGGUGGAUUUAACACUUAAGAAAAUACAGACACGUACUAAAUUGAAACAUGGUCCCACACAAAGUUGUAAUUGAAUACCUUCUCAAUUGCUGUUUUCCUCUUCUCUUACUUUGAUCUCCUUAGAGGUGAGAAGAAGGAUAGUUGUAGAAUACACAUUGUGUACACAUCAGCGAAGAGUAUCAGGAUUCCAAAGUUUGUUGGGUGAGUACCCAUUAUGUGGGUGUGCCUCACUGUCUUUGUUGUCUGCAGGAUGAGAUUGACACUGAUGUAAGGCACGUAUAACCUAAGAAUAAUCGUGGCAUCUUGUUUGCAUCUGCUGUCAGAGGUGGUCUUGUUCUUGUAGCAAAUGGAGCAUUGGAUUUCGGUGAUAUAUGCUUGGGCCCAUUUAAGGAUCUGAUCAUGAGCAAGUUAAUCUCCAGUUCAUGGAAUGUGCUCUCAAAUCACAACUAGUUGAAAUCAAAUCAUCAAUUGAA